UCGAACGGGACCUUCGGGUCUAGUGGCGAACGGCGGAGUAAUACAUAAGUAACUUGCCUCGAAGAUCGGGAUAGCCGCGGGAAACUGCGAGUAAUACCGGAUGUGACGAGUGGGGGGCAUCCCCUGCUCAUUAAAUGGUUUUUCGCUUCGAGAGCGGCUUAUGACACAUCAGCUAGUUGGUGGGGUAAAGGCCUACCAAGGCGACGACGUGUAGGGGGUCUGAGAGGAUGAUCCCCCCGAGUGGGACUGAGACACGGCCCACACACCUACGGGUGGCAGCAGUUGGGAAUCUUGCACAAUGGGGGAAACCCUGAUGCAGCGACGCCGCGUGGAGGAAGAAGGGUCUAGGCUCGUAAACUCCUUUUUCAGGGAAAGACUUAGGACGGUACCCUGAGAAUAAGCUCCGGCUAACUACGUGCCAGCAGCCGCGGUAAGACGUAGGGAGCGAGCGUUGUCCGGAUUUACUGGGCGUAAGGAGCACGUAGGCGGUCUGUUAAGUGAGAAGUGAAAUCUCCAGCGCUCAACGCGGAAACGGCUUUUCAUACUGGCAGACUUGAGGGAUGCAGAGGCAAGUAGAAUUCCUGGUGUACCGGUGACAUGGGUUGAUAUCAGGAGGAAUACCAAUGGCGAAGGCAGCUUGCCGGGCAUCAUCUGACGCUGAGGUGCGAAAGCGUGGGUAGCAAACAGGAUUAGAUACCCUGGUAGUCCACGCCCUAAACGAUGGAUACUAGGCGUAUGGGGUAUCGACCCCCCAUGUGCCGUAGCUAACGCAUUAAGUAUCCCGCCUGGGGAGUACGGCCGCAAGGUUGAAACUCAAAUGAAUUGACGGGGACCCGCACAAGCGGUGGAGCAUGUGGAUUAAUUCGAUACUAACCG
rnacentral:rRNA from 1 species